UACGUAGGGUGCAAGCGUUGUCCGGAAUUAUUGGGCGUAAAGAGCUCGUAGGCGGUCUGUCACGUCGGGCGUGAAAUCCAGGGCUUAACCCUGGACCUGCGUUCGAUACGGGCAGACUAGAGUUCGGUAGGGGAGACUGGAAUUCCUGGUGUAGCGGUGAAAUGCGCAGAGUAUCAGGAGGAACACCGGUGGCGAAGGCGGGUCUCUGGGCCGAUACUGACGCUGAGGAGCGAAAGCGUGGGGAGCGAACAGG
rnacentral:rRNA from 1 species